rnacentral:lncRNA from 1 species
GAAAGCUAAAACAUGGUCAACUGUGUAAAAAAAUGUGAGAGACACAUGGACAACUUCAAGAUCUGACUUGUUCAAAGUUUUCAUACGUGUGAUGCUAAAGGAGGCAUCGUGUCCCUGUCAGUAAAGUUAAAACACCCAAGGUACUGUAAGCAAAUAAAAAAAUCUUCUUAUAAACUAACCUUACAAAGCUGAUUACAGAGAAACUCACAAACAACAAGAGAGUGGAGAGGGAGCUAGAAACAAUGAGAAAAUACCGAUAGCGUUGAGAGGAUAUAGCAGAGAGAAGAUGCAGCCUCGUUGCUUAAAAGAAGUCUCUCAAGCAUGCCUUAGUGGCUGCUGUCCAAGCCCCAUCCUUGGCUUUUCUGAGCCUCUUAACAAAAUCAGCAAGCCUAGAAGCACAUC